rnacentral:tRNA from 1 species
CGAGUCGUAGCGCAGUCGGUAGCGUACGUGCUUAGGGAGCAUGGGGUCGCAGGUUCAAGUCCUGUCGCCUCGACCA